UGGUUUGUCCAUUCUAGGCUCCUGUAGAAACCUGGUGGUUCAACGUGGUGGAAGAUCUCUGUUGAUUUCAAGGCAACAAAAACAGAAAUAUUCAGAUUUCCAGAGAAGCCGCCACACGGCAUCACAAGCAUCCAGCGACGACGUCCGACGAGAAGGUGAAGAUGAACCGGCCUUUCUGAUCAAAGCAGCCCGUCUAUAAAGCUCAAGGCUGGCCUUCCUUGGCGGGUCGGGACAUGGAGGCCAAACCAACACACCGAGGCCCCUCUGACGCUGAGCGUCAACGCCACCGCGGGGUCGCGACCUCAGCCAGAGUGUCUCAGAGGUCACGGGGUCGGGUCAAUCGGAGGGGAAUGUUAUCCGAAGCAUCAGAGCUUAUUUGUUUAAUUUUCCGUCAAACCCUGGUGUCUGCCUCUGAUCAAGAUGACCGUGGAUUACUCGAAGAGGAGGAGAGAGAGAGAACGGAGGGAGAAAAGGAGCCUACUGCUUCAAAUUAGGCUGGAAAAAUAAUCCUGCGUCGCCUCGACCAAACAUCGUACUUUAAACUUAUUGUCAGAAGCCAAAUAAGCUUUACAAACCACAAAAACACUCCGGAGGCUGUGCAGCCGAAGGAGGCUGCGAUUCUCAUGAAGGUCACUCCAAGUGUCAUGAAUAUUUUUCUCCUUUCAGACCGACCGCUUCUCCUUCGAUCUGCUAAAGCACUCGCACACGGCGAGGACCAGACAAGUGUCCGAUUCAUAAACACAGAUCCGAUCUGACGCUCGCAGAAAGACGAGUCGCGCGAGGGUUUUUCGCAGAAUAUUAAACUUCCCUUUGUGUCUUCAUGAAGCGAGCUGCCAGAUACAGAAGUCAUUUCACAGCUCGGAAACGAGGUGCUCUAACUAUAAACUUUAUAAAGCAUAAACAUAUUUGAAUUGAAACACAUACACUAAUUAAAAACUGUAAUCUUAAUCACAUUUUAAAGGCCCAGUGUAAUCACCUCUGCAGCUGAUUUAGUGAUCUACAUUUAUUCUAACAGUGUGUCAUGAAAUAAAUCUGCAAGACUUGAUGUAAAAGCUGAAAUAUGUUUUGUUGAGUGUGUAAAAUGUUUUAUUUUCU